GACGAACGCUGGCGGCGUGCUUAACACAUGCAAGUCGAACGGAAAGGCCCUGCUUUUGUGGGGUGCUCGAGUGGCGAACGGGUGAGUAACACGUGAGUAACCUGCCCUUGACUUUGGGAUAACUUCAGGAAACUGGGGCUAAUACCGGAUAGGAGCUCCUGCUGCAUGGUGGGGGUUGGAAAGUUUCGGCGGUUGGGGAUGGACUCGCGGCUUAUCAGCUUGUUGGUGGGGUAGUGGCUUACCAAGGCUUUGACGGGUAGUCGGCCUGAGAGGGUGACCGGCCACAUUGGGACUGAGAUACGGCCCAGACUCCUACGGGAGGCAGCAGUGGGGAAUAUUGCACAAUGGGCGGAAGCCUGAUGCAGCAACGCCGCGUGCGGGAUGACGGCCUUCGGGUUGUAAACCGCUUUCGCCUGUGACGAAGCGUGAGUGACGGUAAUGGGUAAAGAAGCACCGGCUAACUACGU
rnacentral:rRNA from 1 species